UACGGAGGAUGCAAGCGUUAUCCGGAAUGAUUGGGCGUAAAGCGUCCGCAGGUGGCUGUGUAAGUCUGCUGUUAAAGAGUGAGGCUCAACCUCAUAAAGGCAGUGGAAACUACAUGGCUAGAGUGCGUUCGGGGCAGAGGGAAUUCCUGGUGUAGCGGUGAAAUGCGUAGAGGUCAGGAAGAACACCGGUGGCGAAAGCGCUCUGCUAGGCCGCAACUGACACUGAGGGACGAAAGCUAGGGGAGCGAAUGGG
rnacentral:rRNA from 1 species